rnacentral:rRNA from 1 species
CCUACGGGAGGCAGCAGUGGGGGAUAUUGCACAAUGGGGGGAACCCUGAUGCAGCGACGCCGCGUGGGUGAAGGAGUGCUUCGGCAUGUAAAGCCCUAUCAGCAGGGAAGAAAAUGACGGUACCUGACUAAGAAGCCCCGGCUAACUACGUGCCAGCAGCCGCGGUAAUACGUAGGGGGCAAGCGUUAUCCGGAUUUACUGGGUGUAAAGGGAGCGUAGGCGGCAAGGUGAGCCAGAAGUGAAAGCCCGCGGCUCAACUGCGGGACUGCUUUUGGAACUAUCUAGCUAGAUUGCAGGAGAGGUAAGUGGAAUUCCUAGUGUAGCGGUGAAAUGCGUAGAUAUUAGGAGGAACACCAGUGGCGAAGGCGGCUUACUGGCACAUAACUGACGCUGAGGAGCGAAAGCGUGGGUAGCAAACAGGAUUAGAUACCCGUGUAGUC